CCACCACCCUUUUGCUCCUAUAAAUACCCAUUUUCCAUCUAUUAAAAUUCAGAACACGGGUUACUGUAAGAUACAAUAUCAACUGGUGAGGUUUAGUUGCUGCAUCAUUGACUGGUCCUAUUAUCGAUACUCCUCAAGAACAUGGUGAGGAGGUCCCCAUUAUGGUUAAUCCAUCUAUUUUUAAAUCAAAGGUAGUCGACCCAUACAAAGUUAAGGAGCCUCUAUACGCAACAACUUAAAAAGAGGAACCGCCUGCCCAGACUCAACAGGUUUUCAAUAAACAACCACCUCAAGAUAAGAGCAUAGUAGUCAUGGAGAUUCUUGUUGGAAGAAGGUAAAACUAUCUUUGAACUAGCCAGUUGAUUCUAACUCCCAUAUGAAAAUUCUUGCUAGCGCUGAUAUUUCAUCAAAGACUCUGCCAACCAUUAAAAAGAUAGACAAUGUCCAAGUUUUGAAGGAUCCUCACCAAAGUAAGCUACAAGGUAGUAGUGAGUCCGUAGUAUGCCCAGACUAAAGAGAGUUACUUCUGUCUUCCAAAGAGCUCACUUCUAAUCCUUAAAGUAAAGUCAAAGAAAAUGUAGAGUCAAACCUUUCCCGCCGACCAACAGUAACCAUGUCUAUUUUUGAUGGAAAGAAGGUUGUCACAGAGCUCAAAAAGGAAUUUAUCAUGAAGGCAUGGGCUAGUAUCCGCACAAAACUUAUAGGCCUUACUCUAGAUCGUGUUCCUCCUAUCCAAGAUAAUGUGGAAUUCAUACUUAAUGAUAUGAGUGGAAUGGGUGCAGAUAUUUCCUUUGUAGAAUCUGUUGGGGUCUUUCUUUGGGCUUAUAACUUUCUAUGACCAAGCAUGAUCCACCCUUGUUGAUAGAACCACAAUAAUUAAAGAAUUAGAGCCAUAUUUUAAAGCUAAAGAGCAUCUUGAGCUUGUAUUGAGGGAGAGGGAUGAGAAAUCUGAAGAAGUUUCUACCACAUGCAAAUCUCUUGAGAAGGCAAGAAAAAAGGUAAAGUAGUUACAAACUCGCCGAGAUGCUACCAAGUAAGAAUUGAUGGAACCCAAAGUUUCAGCUACCGAAGAAGAGUUUUUCAAGUGCUCUGACGUCUCUCUAGCAAUAAAAAAAGCUUCAAAGGUCACAGAGAAGAAAAACAAGUCUUAGAGGUUACUUUAUAAGAUUUAGUCAAUUAUAAACUAUACUUAGAUUAGCCUUAGGAGAUGUUUUUUUUCUUGCAAAACUUUUUGUUGCUUUCUUUUAGCCUUUUAUUGAGUAGUUGGAUCUAUUAGUUGUAAUUGAAACUCCUUUUCACUA